rnacentral:rRNA from 1 species
UACGGGGGGUGCGAGCGUUGUCCGGAAUCACUGGGCGUGAAGGGCGCGUAGGUGGCGUGAUAAGGGUGUGGUGAAAGCCCGGGGCUCAACCCCGGGUCUGCCAUGCCGACUGUCAGGCUCGAGUACUGUAGGGGCAGGCGGAAUUCCGGGUGUAGCGGUGGAAUGCGUAGAGAUCCGGAGGAAGACCGGUGGCGAAGGCAGCCCCCUGGGUCGAUACUGACGCUCAUGCACGAAAGCGUGGGGGGCAAACAGG